rnacentral:rRNA from 1 species
CGCUGGCGGCGUGCUUAACACAUGCAAGUCGAACGGAAAGGCCCUGCUUUUGUGGGGUGCUCGAGUGGCGAACGGGUGAGUAACACGUGAGUAACCUGCCCUUGACUUUGGGAUAACUUCAGGAAACUGGGGCUAAUACCGGAUAGGAGCUCCUGCUGCAUGGUGGGGGUUGGAAAGUUUCGGCGGUUGGGGAUGGACUCGCGGCUUAUCAGCUUGUUGGUGGGGUAGUGGCUUACCAAGGCUUUGACGGGUAACCGGCCUGAGAGGGUGACCGGCCACAUUGGGACUGAGAUACGGCCCAGACUCCUACGGGAGGCAGCAGUGGGGAAUAUUGCACAAUGGGCGGAAGCCUGAUGCAGCAACGCCGCGUGCGGGAUGACGGCCUUCGGGUUGUAAACCGCUUUCGCCUGUGACGAAGCGUGAGUGACGGUAAUGGGUAAAGAAGCACCGGCUAACUACGUGCCAGCAGCCGCGGUGAUACGUAGGGUGCGAGCGUUGUCCGGAUUUAUUGGGCGUAAAGGGCUCGUAGGUGGUUGAUCGCGUCGGAAGUGUAAUCUUGGGGCUUAACCCUGAGCGUGCUUUCGAUACGGGUUGACUUGAGGAAGGUAGGGGAGAAUGGAAUUCCUGGUGGAGCGGUGGAAUGCGCAGAUAUCAGGAGGAACACCAGUGGCGAAGGCGGUUCUCUGGGCCUUUCCUGACGCUGAGGAGCGAAAGCGUGGGGAGCGAACAGGCUUAGAUACCCUGGUAGUCCACGCUGUAAACGGUGGGUACUAGGUGUGGGGUCCAUUCCACGGGUUCCGUGCCGUAGCUAACGCUUUAAGUACCCCGCCUGGGGAGUACGGCCGCAAGGCUAAAACUCAAAGGAAUUGACGGGGCCCCGCACAAGCGGCGGAGCAUGCGGAUUAAUUCGAUGCAACGCGUAGAACCUUACCUGGGUUUGACAUGGAUCGGGAGCGGUCAGAGAUGGGUGUGCCUCUUUUGGGGUCGGUUCACAGGUGGUGCAUGGCUGUCGUCAGCUCGUGUCGUGAGAUGUUGGGUUAAGUCCCGCAACGAGCGCAACCCUUGUUCACUGUUGCCAGCACGUUAUGGUGGGGACUCAGUGGAGACCGCCGGGGUCAACUCGGAGGAAGGUGGGGAUGACGUCAAGUCAUCAUGCCCCUUAUGUUCAGGGCUUCACGCAUGCUACAAUGGCUGGUACAGAGAGUGGCGAGCCUGUGAGGGUGAGCGAAUCUCGGAAAGCCGGUCUCAGUUCGGAUUGGGGUCUGCAACUCGACCUCAUGAAGUCGGAGUCGGUAGUAAUCGCAGAUCAGCAACGCUGCGGUGAAUACGUUCCCGGGGCUUGUACACACCGCCCGUCAAGUCAUGAAAGUUGGUAACACCCGAAGCCGGAGGCCUAACCGUUGUGGGGGAGCCGUCGAAGGUGGGACU